ACCGUUGGUCCCAUAAUGUGGCUUGUAGCUCCACCACAAGCAAAACAAAUUCCCUUUCCCAAUGUUUCCUCUGUGAGUUCGUUCAGAUUCUGAAUUCGACCCUGUCCCUGUCAGGCGAACUCACUUGCCUAUGCUAUAAUGUUGGUCGCUCACCGAUGUACUCUAGUUUGUUUGCAGCGGUUUGAACUAAAUAAACUACCUGCGUGCAAGAAACAACGUAAAAUGAAAUGGAAGAUAACCCACAGUGGGCCGUUUCGCAAAUGUUCGGCUUUUAUCGGGCCCGUUUCUCAUGACAUAACUUAUAUCAGCUUGGCCAAAGCCGAUGCCGAUCUAUCUGUCCAAAUCCGCAAUAGGAUCCAGAAGUGCGCGACGUGUUCUUAAAAUUCAAGUUAAAACGUUAACUAGGCGGUAAACAGUUAAACUAAAAAAAACUAGUAUCACAGUUUUGUAUAUAGUACGCCAUAGAAAUUUAUUUGUGUGGACAAAGACAAAGGAAAGUUCACAAACAGGGCAC